rnacentral:rRNA from 1 species
UACGUAGGGGGCGAGCGUUAUCCGGAAUCAUUGGGCGUAAAGGGCGCGUAGGCGGAUAUUUAAGUCAGGUGUGAAAACCCAGGGCUCAACCUUGGGAUUGCAUCUGAUACUGGGUAUCUUGAGGACAGGAGAGGAAAGUGGAAUUCCUAGUGUAGCGGUGAAAUGCGUAGAUAUUAGGAGGAACACCAGUGGCGAAGGCGACUUUCUGGACUGUAACUGACGCUGAGGCGCGAAAGCGUGGGGAGCAAACAGG